GCUCGUAGUUGAAGUUCUGCUGAAAGUAACCGGUCUGCUUUUAAUAAAAGUGGUAUCUUGGUAUGUAUUUAGCAAUGAUGUCCUUUGAAGUGUUUUUUACUUUAUUGUAAUAAAGCAUAUUCAGGACUUUUACUUUGAGAAAAUUAGAGUGUUUCUAGCAGGCUAACGCUUUGAAUACUGCAGCAUGGAAUAAUAAGAUAGGAUUUUAGUUCUACAUUAUUGGUUUUAAGAGCUAAAUUAAUGAUUGAUAGGGACAGUUGGGGGCAUUUGUAUUUAACUGUCAGAGGUGAAAUUCUUAGAUUUGUUAAAGACAAACUACUGCGAAAG
rnacentral:rRNA from 1 species